UAAAGUAAUAACAGGAAAACAAAACAAAAC
rnacentral:piRNA from 1 species